GUCCACGCCGUAAACGAUGGAUACUAGCUGUUGGGGGCAACCUCAGUGGCUAAGCGAAAGUGAUAAGUAUCCCACCUGGGGAGUACGUUCGCAAGAAUGAAACUCAAAGGAAUUGACGGGGGCCCGCACAAGCGGUGUAGCAUGUGGUUUAAUUCGAUGAUACGCUAGGAACCUUACCAAGGCUUAAAUGUAGUUUGACCGAUUUGGAAACAGAUCUUUCGCAAGACAAAUUACAAGGUGCUGCAUGGUUGUCGU
rnacentral:rRNA from 1 species